AAUCCGUCGACUUUAAAAAUC
rnacentral:tRNA from 1 species